rnacentral:lncRNA from 1 species
GGGAGCCGCGCCUGGAAGAGCACAUUGUGGAGGGCCGGGGAGGGCCCUUCCUCCGGGAGGAAGAGACAAUGUCCAGGGCCGGGCGCCUGCUGGAGAGCGGCGAGAAUGCACGGCACGGCUCGAUGCAUCCCCUCGCUCCGGUGGGAGAGCAGAGGGAGAGCACCCACUCCGCGAGCAACACAGCUCGGCGCAGGGCUCAGCCGUUGUUCUGCAGCCGCUCCUGGGGCUGCCCGGUGGGGCACUCCGUGCUGGCAGCGCUCACUGACCUCCUCCUGGACAUCGCACCUCAGUGUCCCCCCAUCCCCAGCCCGCUCUGUGCCCCCAGCCCUUGAUGGCUAUGAGGGGGAUUUUGAUGCAAUCAGCCCAGCCGUAGGGCCUUCACCACUGCCAAGGAUGGGAACUGCCACAUCCCUGCUUAUGGCUUGUUGGUGCCCAUGUCCAAUUGUGAUGUGCGUCAACCACGGCGCUGCUGGGAGGAGAAGGUCAGGGAGCGCUGUGCUGAGCCCUGUGGAGCGGGGGGGUGAAUGGGCACCGUGGGCACUGCACAGCCGACCCUUCCCCAUCUCAAGCUGAAGGGCAGCAGUGCAGCCCCGGGGUCCCUGCGGUGGGAGGGCAGCGGCUGCGCUCGCUUCCAGCUCAAUGGCUGCCGCUCCUCCCUGAAGCUAAAAUAAAAUCCUGACCAUUUAAGGUGAACAGGAGACUUGCCGUGGACCUCGGAAGGGUUUUAACCCCUUCCCAUUGCUGGGCUUUGUUUAUUCCUCGCGCUCCCUUCGCUUCGAGCUAGACCACGCGGCAGAGCCAGCCCCCUGCACUGGGCACACAGCAGCGAGGGCGCGAGCCUGACGCGGCCGCCGUGUUGCCUCACCAUGUGGACACUUAUUUUAUACUAAGUGCCUUUGUGUGGGCUAGGUUAAUCCACUUUGGAAAUGGAUUAACCUAAAUUUUGCAUCGGCAAACUUAGCGUGGAACAGACGCAUCCACUCGGGAAGCGAGGGUGGAGGAGCGGGCAGGGCUGCAGGCAGGAACCCUUCCAGUGCCGGCUGCAGGACCUGACCCCAGUGGGGUCACCGCCGCACAAGCGGGGUCACGAGCCCGACAGAAAUGCCAUUGUUUGUGGCAGCGCCUGGGGCCGCCAGGCCGGCACGGCGAGGCUGGGCACAGAAAUGGGGCUCCUGUGGGAGGGACAGCUCUGCAAAGCUGCAACCGGAGCACCCUUUUGGUGGGGAUCCUUCAGGUUCGAACCACGGAGGGGGAAAUAACUGGCAAUUAGGUAGAGGAUCGGUAAUGAUAAUUUAUCAAGUUGUCAGGAAGAGGGUAAGUGCCUUACGGGACUGUGUUUAAAAAAAAUCCCAACAUAAUAAACCAGUACUGCUGCUAUUAUAUUAUAUAUAAAACACAUCAAAUAUAUUAUUUAUAAGUCGCUUCCUUCCCUCUCUGCACGUUCGUUACCUCUGAACCCUGCAAACCCUUCCCUGUGGGCACACACAUCCCUGCGGCUCCCCGCCUGCCCGCCCACGCAGAACCAAGCCCUGCCUCCUGCACACCCAGAGCCACGCCAUGAGGGGCUGCUGGCAGCACCCAGCCUUGUCCUCCAGUGCUUCCCAAGGCACGGCCACACAGGCAGCACUGGGGCUGCUCUCAGACUCGGGUACACUGCCUGUAGGAACGCCGCUGGGUGAGUGUGGACACAGAGAUCUGGAGGGGACUGUGUGAAGUGGGAUCUGGCUCUCAUGCUGAAGGAGCCACUGACUCGGGGGUGACUUUGUGCCUCUGGAAGUGGGUUAAACAACAAAUGGCACCUCCUGCAUCUGUUGCUCCGUGACCACCAAACCCUACUGGGUGAUGAGCAUUAAAAAUGCAAAGCUUUGCCAAGUGAUGCCUGUAAGGAAAGCAGGACAAACAGAGGCAGGGCCACAGCCCCAUGGCAUGAAGGGAGGUGUGACUUCUGCCUGCACUGUGUUUUAGUUACGUGGCAUCCAGAGCAGAGUCAGGAAGAAAUGGAGAGAAGAGGCUUGGGAAGCUUUGUUACAGAGCACAUCUGCGUGGGCUGAGGGCCAUGUUCCCCUUUCUCUUGGUCACUCCUUCUGCAGAAGCAACAGCUGCUGGCAUUUGGCAUAUGCACAAAUAGAAGUGCUUUUUUUUUCCUUCUUCAAGGGCGAAGGCCAAGAGAUGGAAGGGAAAUAUAGCACACGUCAGGGUGCACCAGUCCCAGCAAAGCAGCAGGAAAGAGCUGCUUCUGCGGGUGGAAUGUGCCUUCCCUGGGAGCUCAGGGGAGGGCUGGAUGCCAGUACCAGGGAUCCAGAUCCCAUCCACACACAGGGAUCCAUAUCCCAUCCACACGCAGGAUGCAUAUCCCAUCCACACACAGGAUCCAUAUCCCAUCCCUGCACAGGAUCCAUAUCCCACCCCUCCCAGCUUCUGCUGGAGCACCACCCCUCAGCAGCUCUGCACUAUGCCAUAGGUUGACACAGACUCACAGCUUUUCUCCUAGCCACCACACCAGAACUGAGCCAUUUUAACCAACGCUACACCAUAACCAACAUGAAGCCCAUCUUUUGCCAUUCUCAAGCCACACCGUGUUUCCAGCAUCCAUCUUUGUGAGUGCCAGCAUUUGCUGGGAGAUGCACGUGCCCAUUCCCAGCCCUGCAGCGAGGCACACGCCUGCCUGAGCAGGUAGAACAGGAGCAGAAACAAAAGCAACAACGCAACUCAAGGUUACAACGCUGAACCACACAGCUUCAUUUUCGGCAGUAACGGAAAUCAUUAAUAACAGUUCACGCUCUCAAAGUAGUUGCCAUCCAAGCUCUUGAAGAGCUUUAUUAGUGCGCGAGACCUCAGAAGUCUCUCUAAGGUAUUAGCCCCUUCUUAAAGGGAGAGGGCAAUUAGGAAACAACCAUUUGUGCGCCUCGAUCAAAGUCAGCACACAGCACGUCAGUGAACGAAGGGGAGGCGAUGCAGAGAGCCCACAGCCAUGGCCUGCCCAAGGCUACAGGAGGAAUGGGCCCAUCAGGAGCCACAGUGCAUUCCCCCAAGCACCCCUCCACCAGUUUGCAGCCACCAGAUAUGGGACCCGAGCAGUGGCGCGCGGUGCCUGGUGCAGCCUGCAGCCUCAGAGGACAUGUGGUGACUGGCACUGCUGAGAUCUGGCAGUGCCACCUCAUUCAGUGCCUCCUUCCCAUAGGAAGCAAUGCAAUUUCCCUUAGCAGUGCAGAGUCAGGGCCACAGCAUCAUAUCUCAUGUGGAAGAUGCCAGCAGUAUUUAUCCCAGCCAGACCACGCCUGGAUCUCAAAUCAUUUUGCUUGCACCGAGCAUUGCACUGAGCACAUACAAAGCUUACCAGCAACGCAGCUACAGACACUGAGGGAUCUACACAGCUGGAAAUGAAAUGUCUCCUGCUUUAACUAGCUGGGAACCUCACGGUUAAUUCCAAUCACAAAAAUGAGCUGACCCUCACUGAAAGCAAGCCAUUCAGAGAAGUCUGAAACCAGGCUAAAUGGUUUGAUCAUCUGACCUCCUGCAUCUCAUGAGCCAUUAAGGCCAAGGAUAAAAGUUUCACUAAACUGUCUUUGUCAGCUAAGAGGGUGGAGGGAAGCUGCAAAUGUGCAGAAUGGAGUUGCAGGGCUGGACCCGCUGCCGCUGCCAUGGCUGGACAGCAUGUCCUUUAGGGCAAAUGCAUCAGCCAAAGCCUUCUCUGCCAGCAGAAGCUGCAUCUCCACUAGAGGGCUUUGCUGAUGUAGAGCUACGAGUAAGCCUUUAUUGCAUCAAUUAAAUCUGUAUUUCCAACAGUUAUGUCUGUACUGAACUGGGUAAUUUGCAUUUAGCGAAACAGUAUCUUCUAGAUACCUCCAGGACUACCCUUUUGUUUUGGCUAUUUCUCCAAACUGUGCCCUCAUGUUGCAGCCCCCUCCACCCCUGCAGUGCACACCGUGAGCUGGGAGCUGUGCACCAGGGUGCAGGACAAGGCCCCCUCCUUCCCUCCCUCCCUCCCAGGCACUCACAAGUCAGCGUGGCAAAGCCAUGGCAACAAGAGAAAAGCUCCUGUUAUUUCACAUCCUGCCAUUCACCGACUGGGUGACCUUCUGUCAGCAGCCACUGAAGCAACCUUUGGAAAUUUUCCGUAUCACUUAAACCUGGUUGCUGCCUGCCAAGGUGGCAGCCGCACCUCCAGAGCAGAGCAGGUUUGGAGCUCUGUGCAUCUCAGCCUGCCGUGUUCCACCUGGAGCUGAGCACAGGGCCCUGGCAGAAAUCACCUGAACAGUGUGGUGUGAAAAAUAAACCCAGGGAUGAGUCUGAAUAUGAUAGAAAAAGAUGGUCUGGGAAAUGACUGCAAUAAAACUCAAAUAAGCAAUCAUUUAAACAUGCUAAUAUUUAUCGUUUGAAAACGAGGUGGAAGGAUCAUUAUAGAUGAAUAUUAAAUACCUUCAUUCCUUUUUUGCUGCAAGAUUGAGAAGGUCAGAAGUUCGGGGGAUGCUUUAAUACCUCCACAGAUCCCUGAAAUAUGGCUAAUUCUGCACUAUGUGGAAAGGGAACGGGCCCUCCUGGGCCCUCUCACGUAUGAGAACUGCUAUAAAAUUGGAAAGAAGGAAGACUCACAGCCCAGGAGCUCCUGCAUGUUCCAGUGAACCCAAUUUAAACAGCGUGGGGCACUCAUGCCAGAAUAGAUGUACUGACUUGAAAUAUAUUGAUCUCUACUGAUGUGAGAAAAUAAUCUGACUCCUGUUCUCUGAACACUUCCAUACAGGAUAGUGAUUUGCUUUCUGGUUCUGUCAAUUCUGCAGGAACCCUUAACUGCAUGAACAACCCUGGGAAGAGCUCCUUAUUUUGUGGUUCUUUUUGUCCCUCGAUGCAGACAAAAUGCUCUCAGGUUCUUCUGGCAGCGUUUCCUGGUGGAGACACUGCUGCCCUGAUACUGAUAUGCUUAACAGCAGCCAUAAAUUACAGUUACAUGCACUUUUUUUUUUCCUCCUGAAUAAUGAAGUUAAAAGGCCACUUUGGCAUAAAUUCAUUCAUUGUUAGCCCCUGUGAAGCAAGCUCCUCCUGGUGCUGCUGCAUGCAAAUAAUUGCUUUUGGCAAAAGCCAAGUAGAACACAAGUCACUUGCUUCAUUUAUUUCUAUUAUUACCAUCAAAUGUUGGCGCAGUGCUGGGCAGUGAGGUGGCAGGGCAGCAAGAUGAGAUAGAGGGACGAGUGUCUUAGUGUAAAGUUGACUACACCGAAGCCAUACAGUGUGUAUUUGUGAGCAUGGUGCUCCUUCCCAGGGGUGACCAUGGGCUGUGCCUCUCGGAACCAAUGGCACCCACAUCUCCUGGGUUUUCUCCCUGGGUUCCCACCACAGUAUUCUCCUCAGACUGCUGCUAUACUCAGGUAUGAUAAAGAGCUUCAAUGCUACAUGGGUCUGAGCAGUAGGGCUGUGAUCUUUUGCCAUUUUUUCUCAGGAAUCUCUCUGGAAUUUCAGGGACACAUCUAAAGGCAAAUUUUACUUCUUCCAAACAGUUUUUUUUUUUUCCCUCAGCUGCUGCAGCUCAAAAAGCUUAGAAAGCUGCAUUGCAACUGUAUGGGAACUGUUGAAUCACGG